GCUGACGAGUGGCGGACGGGUGAGUAAUGUCUGGGAAACUGCCUGAUGGAGGGGGAUAACUACUGGAAACGGUGGCUAAUACCGCAUAACGUCGCAAGACCAAAGAGGGGGACCUUCGGGCCUCUUGCCAUCAGAUGUGCCCAGAUGGGAUUAGCUUGUUGGUGAGGUAACGGCUCACCAAGGCGACGAUCCCUAGCUGGUCUGAGAGGAUGACCAGCCACACUGGAACUGAGACACGGUCCAGACUCCUACGGGAGGCAGCAGUGGGGAAUAUUGCACAAUGGGCGCAAGCCUGAUGCAGCCAUGCCGCGUGUAUGAAGAAGGCCUUCGGGUUGUAAAGUACUUUCAGCGGGGAGGAAGGUGUUGUGGUUAAUAACCGCAGCAAUUGACGUUACCCGCAGAAGAAGCACCGGCUAACUCCGUGCCAGCAGCCGCGGUAAUACGGAGGGUGCAAGCGUUAAUCGGAAUUACUGGGCGUAAAGCGCACGCAGGCGGUCUGUCAAGUCGGAUGUGAAAUCCCCGGGCUCAACCUGGGAACUGCAUUCGAAACUGGCAGGCUUGAGUCUUGUAGAGGGGGGUAGAAUUCCAGGUGUAGCGGUGAAAUGCGUAGAGAUCUGGAGGAAUACCGGUGGCGAAGGCGGCCCCCUGGACAAAGACUGACGCUCAGGUGCGAAAGCGUGGGGAGCAAACAGGAUUAGAUACCCUGGUAGUCCACGCCGUAAACGAUGUCUACUUGGAGGUUGUGCCCUUGAGGCGUGGCUUCCGGAGCUAACGCGUUAAGUAGACCGCCUGGGGAGUACGGCCGCAAGGUUAAAACUCAAAUGAAUUGACGGGGGCCCGCACAAGCGGUGGAGCAUGUGGUUUAAUUCGAUGCAACGCGAAGAACCUUACCUGGUCUUGACAUCCACAGAACUUUCCAGAGAUGGAUUGGUGCCUUCGGGAACUGUGAGACAGGUGCUGCAUGGCUGUCGUCAGCUCGUGUUGUGAAAUGUUGGGUUAAGUCCCGCAACGAGCGCAACCCUUAUCCUUUGUUGCCAGCGGUCCGGCCGGGAACUCAAAGGAGACUGCCAGUGAUAAACUGGAGGAAGGUGGGGAUGACGUCAAGUCAUCAUGGCCCUUACGACCAGGGCUACACACGUGCUACAAUGGCGCAUACAAAGAGAAGCGACCUCGCGAGAGCAAGCGGACCUCAUAAAGUGCGUCGUAGUCCGGAUUGGAGUCUGCAACUCGACUCCAUGAAGUCGGAAUCGCUAGUAAUCGUGGAUCAGAAUGCCACGGUGAAUACGUUCCCGGGCCUUGUACACACCGCCCGUCACACCAUGGGAGUGGGUUGCAAAAGAAGUAGGUAGCUUAACCUUCGGGAGGGCGCUUACCACUUUGUGAUUCAUGACUGGGGUGAAGUCGUAACAAGGUAACCGUAGGGGAACCUGCGGUUGGAUCACCUCCUUACCUUAAAGAAGC
rnacentral:rRNA from 2 species